AAAAAAAAAAAAAAAAAGCAAAAACAGAGAAGCAGAACUGUAACAUGUGCAAUAAGUAUUCUAUAAUGUGAGUCACAUUAGAGCCUGUUUGGAUUUGGAGCAUUGUUUAAUGUGUGGCCCUCCAUCUUCCUAAAUUGUGGCUUUAGUUUGAGAUUGACAUUUUGUUCACGGGGUAACAUUUCUAAGGAUUGAAAGCUAACCUACAUGGAUCAGUUUCAAUGGGCUAUAGUUGAAAGUGGAAGCAUCUAUGAGUAAAAUAAGAUGAGUGACUCAGUAGGUUAUAUUAGUAAUGUUCAAGUGCUCAUUUGAGAAAUUUUAGAAGUAAAUGUGGUUAAGGUUUUGACACUAGAGGAUAAAAGAAUUUUUUGCUGUCAUUUAGUAUCGUGAAGUUUGUUCAUUGUCAUUUGGGUUAUGAAUUAGGUUAAUAGUUAAACAUAAUCUCUUGACUAAGAUUUAAUUGAUAUGCAAUAAAAGUAGUAGUAAUAGGAUGUAAGAAAAAGAAAUCAAAUGCAUAAAAUUUUGAUGGUGGUUUAGCGUAGCCAAGCCUAUGUCCAUUCCUUAGACUUCCUCUUUGAAGUGUUUUCUUCUACCUAGCGUUAUCUGUGUGCUUCGGGCGCUGAUUUAGCAUAUAUUUCAGCUGCUCUGUGAUUUUGCUAUCUUGUUUGCAAUAUAAUUUCCAAAUUUGUGUAUUGCAUGCAUGUAUUUGGGCAUCUUAUGAAAUAGUUUAUGCAGG
rnacentral:misc_RNA from 1 species